GACGAACGCUGGCGGCGUGCUUAACACAUGCAAGUCGAACGAAGUGGCAGACGGGUGAGUAACGCGUGAGCAACCUACCUCUUACAAAGGGAUAGCCUCGGGAAACCGUGAUUAAUACCAUAUGGUAAGAGAUGGGCUCGCGUCCCAUUAGCUAGUUGGUGAGGUAACGGCCCACCAAGGCGACGAUGGGUAACCGGCCUGAGAGGGUGAACGGUCACAUUGGAACUGAGACACGGUCCAAACUCCUACGGGAGGCAGCAGUGGGGAAUAUUGCACAAUGGAGGGAACUCUGAUGCAGCGACGCCGCGUGAGCGAUGAAGGAAUUCGUUUCGUAAAGCUCUGUUCUAUGGGAAGCUGUACCAUAGGAGAAAGCCCCGGCUAAAUACGUGCCAGCAGCCGCGGUAAUUC
rnacentral:rRNA from 1 species